GCAUGCUGCUCCCUGGGGGGAAAGGCCUGUCCUUCUCUCACAAUUUUCUUCCCCACAGCUCCAGCUGCGAUUUUGCUGAGUUUGCUGCCACCCCCUAAGAAAGACGUGAAGGGUCCAAGGAUUCCAAGGAUUGACCCCCCAGGCAAGCCUUUACCUCAGUGGAGUAUGGCUGUGUGUCUAGAUAGACAUCCAUGGUAACAACUCACUGGAAGCUUUUGAAACUUCCUCAGAUGAACAAAUUUAUGCAGGCCUUUUUCUUCCUCACAGUUGUUUUCAGCUGAUGAAUUUCCAGCAUACAACAGGCGUUCUUAUUAAUUCCUAAAUGCAUGACCUUGCAUACUGAACUACUUCAAUUUCAUCCUAUUGCUCUUGCUCCAAUUCUCAAGGUGACACAUUCCUCCUGCACACUGACAAUUGCUCACAACUUUUGUGAUCACUGCAUUUCAUUAUUGGACUCCUGCCUCUGUGUCAAGGACUCUAAUGAAAAUAUUAAAUAAAAUUGUCCCAA
ensembl:lncRNA